rnacentral:rRNA from 1 species
CAGUCGCCACGGGAAUACGAAGGGGGCUAGCGUUGUUCGGAUUUACUGGGCGUAAAGCGCACGUAGGCGGACUUUUAAGUCAGGGGUGAAAUCCCGGGGCUCAACCCCGGAACUGCCUUUGAUACUGGAAGUCUUGAGUAUGGUAGAGGUGAGUGGAAUUCCGAGUGUAGAGGUGAAAUUCGUAGAUAUUCGGAGGAACACCAGUGGCGAAGGCGGCUCACUGGACCAUUACUGACGCUGAGGUGCGAAAGCGUGGGGAGCAAACAGGAUUAGAUACCCCGGUAGUCCCUGUCUCUUAUAC